AGUGGAAUUGCUGGGUCAUAUGGUUAUUUCUCUGCUUAAGUUUUUGAGGGACUGCCAGACUCUUUUCCAUAGUGGCUGUACCAUUUUACAUUUCCACCAGCAAU
rnacentral:pre_miRNA from 1 species